GUCUAAGGAGCUUCCCAGCACACGAAUCCAACCUGAUCGCCGUUGGUUCGGGAACACUCGGGUUGUGAAUCAGAAAGAGCUUGAGUUCUUCAGAGAAGAGCUGCAGAGCCGCAUGUCGAGUAAUUACAAUGUUAUUCUGAAGGAGAAGAAAUUGCCACUGUCACUCCUCAACGACCACCAAAAGCAAUCAAGGGUUCACCUUCUUGAUAGACAGCCUUUUGAGGAUGCAUUUGGACCUAAGACUAAAAGAAAGCGCCCC